AUCAGCUGAACUAGUGAGAGGAGAGCUAGGUUGGACUGUUGAAGAAUUAAAACAACUUAUAGGAGAAUUAUUUAAUAUCAAAUCAUCAUGUAUGAGAAUAGUAGUGGAGAAGAAGGGUUACUGGUAUGAUGACUCUUCAGUCCAUGAUAUUAGUGAUGUAGGAAGCACUCUAAAAGAGAUACUCAUCAUUAUUCCAUGCAAACAAACGCAGUUGUAUGUGUCAUCAGAUCCUAAAGAUUAUCAAAAAGAAUUCAAAAAUUGUCUGAUGUACAGAUAUGUUGAUUUUCACGUCAACUCAAUAUUACUGAACAUUACUCUACCUCCGGCUCCUGGACCUGAAGCCACACCCACUGCAACUAACAUUACUAAAAGAGGAAUAAUAAUGAAAAUUAUAUCAAUGAAUGAAGAAAGUAAAGAAAAAG